rnacentral:rRNA from 1 species
GUAGGUGUUGGCUCCAACAAUUCGCAUUGGUCUCAAACCAAUGACAUGCAUUUUGAAAACCAUGAGUUCGAGGUGGAUGAGGAGGGUGAGGGCAUUGUCGACGCACCAAAAGGAAGAGCGGGCAAUUACAACAACACCGAUGACAUCUUACUAUGCAAUACUUGGUUGCAAGUGUCGAGGGAUCCAUCCAUUGGAGGCGAUCAAAGUAGAGAUGCUUAUUGGAACCGGAUGAAGGAACACUUUGAUGCUCGCAACGUGAGUGGAAUUGACUGCUCCAACCGAUCACUUAGGUCCCGGUGGUCGACAAUCAACUCGGAUUGUCAAAGGUGGGCGGCUUGUCAAAAGGCGGUUGACAAGUUGAACCCAAGUGGCACAAAUGAGGACGAUAGAGUAAGUGCCAUUUCAUCUUACAUGUUGGUGCUAAACUUGCUUUGUUUUGCUUGUUGUUGGUGCUAA